rnacentral:lncRNA from 1 species
GCAUGUGCCCACCUGACCCAGGGAUGAGUUCACGGGAUUGUUGGAAACAUACGAAACCUUGGGUAAUGCCGAGCUCUAUACCAGAACUUCUAGGCAACGUGUGCGUCUGAUGACACCUGCAGCGUAGGCCGCCGUGGGCAAGUGCCACAGCAGAAGCUGUGGAGUCGGCCUGAGGCCACGAGGGUGGAGCACGGGCAGAGAUGACCAUGGGCAAGGCGUCACGUUUUCAACACGUUUGCAUGUCCCCUACGUUAACGCACCCAGGAGAUGAAGACCUGUGUCUCCAGAGUCAGGCUCAAGUUCCACUUCUGGUUUAGCUGCCUACUCGCUUG